rnacentral:rRNA from 1 species
UGGGGAAUCUUCCGCAAUGGGCGAAAGCCUGACGGAGCAACGCCGCGUGAGUGAUGACGGCCUUCGGGUUGUAAAACUCUGUGAUCCGGGACGAAAAGGCAGAGUGCGAAGAACAAACUGCAUUGACGGUACCGGAAAAGCAAGCCACGGCUAACUACGUGCCAGCAGCCGCGGUAAUACGUAGGUGGCAAGCGUUGUCCGGAAUUAUUGGGCGUAAAGCGCGCGCAGGCGGCUUCCCAAGUCCCUCUUAAAAGUGCGGGGCUUAACCCCGUGAUGGGAAGGAAACUGGGAAGCUGGAGUAUCGGAGAGGAAAGUGGAAUUCCUAGUGUAGCGGUGAAAUGCGUAGAGAUUAGGAAGAACACCGGUGGCGAAGGCGACUUUCUGGACGAAAACUGACGCUGAGGCGCGAAAGCGUGGGGAGCAAACAGGAUUAGAUACCCUGGUAGUCCACGCCGUAAACGAUGGAUACUAGGUGUAGGAGGUAUCGACCCCUCCUGUGCCGGAGUUAACGCAAUAAGUAUCCCGCCUGGGAAGUACGAUCGCAAGAUUA